CGGUAAGCUUUGCAGACUUUAUCAAAAACUGGACCAGGAGCAGAAGAAGUCAAGUAGACUCUCUGAGGACAUAAAAAACAAAGCCAGAAAACCUCAGGUGGGGAGUUUUGGGUGGUCACAGCAGAAAGUUGCCGAACAUUCAAGUACAACGAGUCCUAAAAGGAAUAUGCGCGGGACAUCGGCCGUCUUGUAGCAGCCUUGUAGACAAAGGGAUGGCCAACCUCCCUUCUCCCCAGUCCUUCCUUGUGGGUGUUUGUUUAUUAAUGGAGUGGAGUGAAACCCUGAAAGCUGUGC